CCCGCACUUCCGGAUCCGGGUUGUUGCAGGAUCUCACGGGCUUUAAACUGCGGCGCCGCGGCGCGCGGGUGCGGAUCCCCAGAUGGGAGCUGGGGAUGGGCUGGUUGCCCGGCGGGUGGCACGUUGCCGCCUCGGGCCCCGGAGACCUUCACCCCGCCGCCUACCCAGGCGGGCCGGCCCUGCCCGUCCACCGGCGGCCGAGAGUCCCCGGCCUUGGGCCCCAGGGGCCGCUGACUGGCCUCGGUCACCUCUCGGGGAAGACUCCCGCGUCUCCAUCUGCCCCAGGAAGGGACCCGCUUCUCGCCCGCGAGGCUUCUCCAGGUGGGAUCGCCCUGGCCCCCGGCCCUAAGGGACCCGCCUCCUCCGAGCAUCCGCCGCCCCUCGGAGACCACUCCAGCUCAGAGGGACCCACUCCAGCCACCGCUGCACGCGGGAGCGCUCAUCCUUCCCACCUGCUCCGUCCCUCCUCCUCCUCCUGUGGGACCACCAGAGACCCCAGCUCCCCGCUCCCCAAGUGUGGGGCCUCCGACGCGAACGCCUCUGCUCGCAAGGCGGUGAGCGCAGAUCCCACGGGGCCCUCGGUCGGGGGUCAAGGCUGCCUCCGUUUCCAUCCCGGACCCGACAAUGGGCCGGAAAAAGACUUUGCACGACUGCGCGGCGGAGUUCACCGACCUGGUGGUGUAGCAGCCCCUGACUGAGCACAGUGACUCUGGGGACACGUCUGUGGUGGAGACCCUUUCCUGCACGGCCUGCGAGCUGCCUAUGCGCGUGCCCAGGGACCGCAUCCCGGAGCACCUGUCCUCGGGCAGGCACCACAGGAACCGCAGACUCAUCCGCAGCACGGCCUGCGGACGCCCAUUCUCGUCUCGGCCGCCUCGGAUCUCACUGCCACCGGCCUUCACGCACACCCUCGCCACCAGCCUUUGCCCCAUCAGCCUCAGCCCCAGCUCAUUCUCUCAGGCAGUCCCAGCAUUGGCACGGUACCUCCUCCCGCCGUGGGCCACACGUCUCUGCUCCCUGUCAACCCUACUGCCAUCAGCAUCACCACAAGCGACUUGUCUGCCCAGGAGGAUGCAACACCAUCUACCUCCACCCGCCACCUUUCAGUGUUUUCUGCUUUCCAAGUAAAGACACCAGCAGUGCCCUCAGAGCGGACCACCCAGAGAUUUUCCGAAGCCUCCCUCCCAUAGGGUGCUCCGUGGAGGAGGCCUGAGAUGCUGUCAUGACUUUGGAGCCAGGGUGGCCGACCACCUUGGCCUGGCCAUCUUUGGGGUGGGCUUUGGGAGCCCAGCACUGCUGCCGAGUGUGGUGGAUGAGAACGGCUGCUGCUUGCUGUACGUGGUGGAGGACCAGCUGUGUGGCGUGGAGUGAGCCUUCAGAGCUGAGCAUUUGGCCAACACCAGAGUGGUUCGGGAACAGGAUGCGGACAUUGUCCUCAACGACCAGCGGUGCGGUUUCAGUUGUCAGCAGAGGUUCACUGAACACCUGCUGUGUGCCGGGCACCGUCCUGGGGGCUGGAGAAAUGGCUCUGAAUGCUGCAAAGCCCCCAUCCUUGUGUUGCUGAAUUGGGUGCAGAGGCAGCUGAGUAGAUCUCAAUACAUCAGUAGCAAUAAACUCUGUGGAGAGAACUCACGCCGUCGGGAGAGGGAGGCUGGUGGGAGCGCUGUUUUAGCGUCUCUGGAGUAGCUGUCUGCUCUCCGCCGGAGGCAGCUUCUGAAAUCAUGAUGCAUGCUCUCCGAGCAGGGAAGGGGGUGCUUUGCGAGAGGCUGCCGAGUUUGAAUUGUCAGGCUGCCCAGUCCUGCUUCGAUGAAGCUGACGGACGUGGAAAGCCUUUGGUCUGUGGAUUUUACAAGUGGGAUUUUCUACAACGCUGCUGUGCACAACGUGGAUGCCACAUGCGUGUUGCUGGGGGAGGCCACUUCGGACACUGUUUUCUCUGGGACAUGCCUUCUGCCCAGAUAUGGCCGCCUUAAAAGAUGCAGGCACUGUUAUGAUCAGCAUGAAGUUUCCCUGUGGGGCUGUGGUCAGCGUGGACGUCAGCCAGCACCGUACAGACAGCUGUGACCAGAGAUUGGAGGUGACCCCCUGCCCUUUUCCACCCCUCGCCAGUCCACUGUGAAAAGCUGGGUUCGUUCUAUGGGUUAGAUAGAGGUCGUCAGCCAGGUUGAUUGUGUGGGUUAGAGAGAGGUUGUCACCCGGCCACCCUCAGCUGGGUCGAUUGUGCGGGUUAGAUAGGGGUCGUCACCCGGCCACCCUCAGCUGGGUCGAUUGUGCGGGUUAGAUAGGGGUCGUCACCCGGCCACCCUCAGCUGGGUCGAUUGUGCGGGUUAGAUAGGGGUCGUCACCCGGCCACCCUCAGCUGGGUUGAUUGUGCGGGUUAGAUAGGGGUCGUCACCCGGCCACCCUCAGCUGGGUUGAUUGUACAGGUUAGAGAGAGGUUGUCACCCGGCCACCCUCAUCUGGGUUGAUUGUGCGGGUUAGAUAGGGGUCGUCACCCGGCCACCCUCAGCUGGGUUGAUUGUGCGGGUUAGAUAGAGGUCAUCAGCCGGGUUGAUCCUGCUGAUUAAAUAGAGGUCAUCACCUGGCCAUCCCCAGUCGGAGCACAUGCAGCACACCUUGUGCAUAGUCAGUGCUCGGUAAAUAUUCGUUUUAGUUUUCUGGUGAGAGCCACGUCUUCAGGUUUUGAAGAGAGUUCGUUCUCUGGCCUCUGGGCCUCCAGGAGCUGUUUUGUGACGGUGGCUUUCCUUUACAUUGGCUGUUGCUCUAUAGAAGCCUGUGCUUCCUUGGCCAUUACAUGGAAAGCUGGUGUUGGUCACGGUGUGCCAUGGGAAGUGAUAAUGACGGUCCUGGAAGGCCUGCGUCAUGUGUCACCUGCCCGCCCCACCCCCACCAGCAAAAGCCCUGGUGGUGUUCAGUCAUCCCCUUCCCCUCCCCACUUCCUGUGCUCGGCCUGGUUAACUCCUGUCUUGCAAUGGCUCCCAGGUGCGUGGGUCCCAAGGUGCGCUGCAGAUGGAGAAUCAGAAUCCCUUGGGCAUCACUGGGCGGGGCACGUCCCUGUCCCUCGGCUCCCAGACCCAGGCUAGCCGCUACCAGGACUCGUAUCGAGAGCUCUUCAGAUACUUUGUCAGAACCCUUAAAGGUGGGUGACGUUCUCAGGAGGAACCUGGGAUGUUCCGAUGCUCAACGGGUAGAUGCCUUCCAGGCUGCAGUCAGUGCAGAUGAUAUGCCAAUUUCAGGUGGAAAAUUGCAUUCCAGAUACUGGGUUCAGAUUUGAAAUUGUCCAUCUCAGUGAUCAUUUGUGUUGCUUGUACUCGAGGAAGAUUCUGAGAGACGCUCCUUUGGGGUUCUGUGCAUGUACCAUGUUGCCUGGCAAGUCCUAAGAAAUCUUCUAGAACUCCGAGGUUUAUAAAAUGAUGACUACUUCUGAACUCCUGAGAUCUAGUGGAUACCACGUGUCCUGGAGAUAGGACGCCUUCUACCCUCUGUCAGUCCUGGGGGUGACUGGGAACCAGGGAGGUGGAACAGAAUUCCGGGACCUGGGUUGGGCUUGUCCAAGAGGGGCAGGUGGGUCUCUCUAGGACCAGUGUCCCACCCCGAGGCCAGUGGCCCCUUCACAUGUCCCAACAAGAAUACUGUCUGGCUCCGAUGUGUUGGGUUUUAUCCUGAAUCUGUGCAAAUGUGCAGGGAAAGAACCUCCUGAAAUCACCAAAGAGCAGUUCCUCAGAGCCUUCCGGGCGGCCGUGGCCGCGGAGCAGUCGUGGUGGAGCCGGUCAGCUGUGGCCCUGCCCUGCGAAUCGGCAGAGGCCUCCGUGGUGAAGACAGAAGCUCCGUGAACCAACCCAAGGCUGGAGCCAAGAUCCUGCCCAAUAUCCAGUUGCCUGUUUCUCUUCUCACUGUUACUGAGAGAGGGAGACAGAACCUUCUGGCGAUCUUGUCCUCACUGGAGACUCAGAACAGGAAGCAUUGGGAAACCAUGUGUGUUUCAUUUCUGGUGCGACCAGGCUUUUCAGGAUGUGACUUCAGACCAAGGACACAAGUUGGGCUUGCUUAGCUGUUUUGUGUUGCGCGCCGGCCGCAGAGAUGCUCUUCCCCUCAGAGUUCCCUUGGCAGGACCUCGGAGGCCUCUGGUUGGCUGUCUCAGGAAGAGGGCAGGUCAGGGAUUGGACAGUGUAAAUUGACCCAGAAACCUGCGGUUUCAGCUUUUCUGUGGCAAACAGGGCCGAGGGCUGGUGAAGCUGUUAAGACUGAAUGUGGCAUGCAUGAGGCAGACUGCAGGCCUCCUUAGGCCUUUUUUGGGGUAAUUACACCAGUAUUUAAAAACAUUUUUUUUUGUUUUGAGACAGAGUCUUGCCCUGUCACCCAGGCUGGAGUGCAGUGGUGCAAUCUCGGCUCACUGCAACCUCUGCCUCCUGGGUUCAAGUGAUUCAUCUACCUCACCCUUCUGAGUAGCUGGGAUUACAGGCAUGCGCCACCACACCCGGCUAAUUUUUGUAUUUUUAGUAAAGACGGGGUUUCACCAUGUUGGCCAGGCUGGUCUCGAACUACUGACCUCGUGAUCCACCUGCCACAGCCUCCCAAAGUGCUGGGAUCACAGGCGUGAGCCACCUGCUCGGUCUAAAAAACAAUUUUCUUGAAGAAUCUGAUUUUGUGCAUAGUAAUGACACAGCAACAUUCCAGAGAAAUAGGAAAUAUAUGUGUGUGGUAUGAGAAGCCCAUAUUCUGUUCUUGUCGCCUGAAUCUAGGCUUCCUCUCUGGAUGUGAGCGCAGGAAUGAACGGCGGCUGUUUUCCGCCCAAAGGGGUGUGGAGACCUUUUGGAAACAGGCCUUCUCCUUUCCGUUUUGCAGCCAGGUGGUGGAAACCUUCCUUCGAAGGGUAGUGCCUUGGGGAGCAGCAGACCUGCUCCGAGUCCAGCUUAGCUUUCCAAAAUUCUGUGUGGAACCUACUGAAGAUGUUUUUAUAUAUUUGAAAAUAAUGGCAUGUAUUUCUCAUGCUAUAGUUAAAAAAAAUAACCUUUUAAACAAAGAUAUUCAAACUCACCCUUGUGCCAAAAGC